AACGCACGAGACCUGCGGACCUGCGGAGGGAUCAUUAGUGAACGCCCUCACGGGCUUAUAACUAUUCCAAACCUCUGUGAACCGUGCCCUUCGGGGCUAUUUUACAAACAUGGUGUAAUGAACGUCAUAUAUCAUAACAAAACAAAACUUUCAACAACGGAUCUCU
rnacentral:misc_RNA from 1 species